rnacentral:rRNA from 1 species
AUUGAACGCUGGCGGCAGGCCUAACACAUGCAAGUCGAGCGAGCGGCGCGCGGGUGAGUACUGCCUGGGAAUUGCCCAGUCGAGGGGGAUCACCGUUGGAAACGACUGCUAAUACCACAUACUCUUGGAUCGCAGAGGUGGGAUUAGCUAGUUGGUGAGGUAAUGGCUCACCAAGGCGACGCGCCCUAGCUGGUCUGAGAGGUUGAUCAGCCACACUGGAACUGAGACACGGUCCAGACUCCUACGGGAGGCAGCAGUGGGGAAUAUUGCACAAUGGGGGAAAGCCUGAUGCAGCCAUGCCGCGUGUGUGAAGAAGGCCUUCGGGUUGUAAAGCACUUUCAGCGAGGAGGCGUUACUCGCAGAAGAAGCACCGGCUAACUCCGUGCCAGCAGCCGCGGUAAUUC